GAUGAAGAACGUAGCAAAGUGCGAUAAGUAAUGUGAAUUGCAGAAUUCAGUGAAUCAUCGAAUCUUUGAACGCACAUUGCGCCCGCCAGUAUUCUGGCGGGCAUGCCUGUUCGAGCGUCAUUUCAACCCUCAAGCACAGCUUGGUGUUGGGACUCGCGUUAAUUCGCGUUCCCCAAAUUGAUUGGCGGUCACGUCGAGCUUCCAUAGCGUAGUAGUAAAACCCUCGUUACUGGUAAUCGUCGCGGCCACGCCGUUAAACCCCAACUUCUGAAUGUUGACCUCGGAUCAGGUAGGAAUACCCGCUGAACUUAAGCAUAUCAAUAAGCGGAGGA
rnacentral:misc_RNA from 1 species